rfam:Brachypodium distachyon strain Bd21 chromosome 3, whole genome shotgun sequence.
AUAUUACUCCCUCCAUCCAAUAAAAGAUGUCUCAAAUUUGUCAAAAUUUGGAUGUAUCUAGACAUGACUUAGUGUAUAAAUGCAUUCAAAUUUAGUUCAAGUUGAGACAUCAUUUGUUGGACGGAAAAAGUAGAAA